GUGGCUGGGCUCUCAUUGGCGCUGUGUUCAGCGUCACCUUAUAUACUAAUAAAUGGGCAACAAGGAACAGUGCCUGAUCACAACACACAACAAAACAGAAAGCAAAGUGGGUAAGAUAAUUAUCUCAACAGAUAACCUGCGGCUGCUUCAUGGAGGAGAUGCUAUUUGGCCAGACUUUAAGAGAUUUAUACACCGGAAAGGCCCUGUAGGGAAAAGCCACAUGGAAACGGCUGCUGUUCAGCUCAAGUUGGGAAUGUUUUCCUCUCUCUGGACUUCCAGUGCAAAAGCACUCGCUGAUUCUACAGCUUUCAGGAGAACAAGUCAGCAUCCAAAAAUGACAACGCAAGCUAUAUAUGACCAGAACUCAGAUCUACCAGGCUUUACCAAUCACAUCAUUCUUCUAAUGGGUACUGCAAAUGGACAAGUUGUGGGUCCUUGUUAG
rnacentral:lncRNA from 1 species